rnacentral:rRNA from 1 species
GACGAACGCUGGCGGCGUGCUUAACACAUGCAAGUCGAACGGAAAGGCCCUGCUUUUGUGGGGUGCUCGAGUGGCGAACGGGUGAGUAACACGUGAGUAACCUGCCCUUGACUUUGGGAUAACUUCAGGAAACUGGGGCUAAUACCGGAUAGGAGCUCCUGCUGCAUGGUGGGGGUUGGUAAGUUUCGGCGGUUGGGGAUGGACUCGCGGCUUAUCAGCUUGUUGGUGGGGUAGUGGCUUACCAAGGCUUUGACCGGUAGCCGGCCUGAGAGGGUGACCGGCCACAUUGGGACUGGGAUACGGCCCAGACUCCUACGGGAGGCAGCAGUGGGGAAUAGUGCACAAUGGGCGGAAGCCUGAUGCAGCAACGCCGCGUGCGGGAUGACGGGCUUCGGGUUGUAAACCGCUUUCGCCUGUGACGAAGCGUGAGUGACGGUAAUGGGUAAAGAAGCACCGGCUAACUACGUG